CAGCCGGGACAGCCGGGGCGGCCGGGCAGCGGCGGGACCGGAGCCGGCGCACGGAGACUCCGCCGGUCCCGCGGAGAGGUUGUUGAUCCUAGAAGUGAAAAGUGACCUUCAAACACUGUGGUUCAGCACUGGGAGCCUGAUCCAAAGUCUGCUGGGGAGAAAGGAAGUUCGAAUGCUCAUUCCCAAGAGGGUUUUGAGAACCUCCAGAGGAAAACUGCUGACAACAAAUGCCUGUUAAUUAAAACCAAAAAUUUAUCAGCCUAAAAACAAUAAAGUUGGUUACGAUGGA